rnacentral:rRNA from 1 species
AUUUGACCUCAAAUCAGGUAGGAGUACCCGCUGAACUUAAGCAUAUCAAUAAGCGGAGGAAAAGAAAAUAACAAUGAUUCCCCUAGUAACUGCGAGUGAAGAGGGACAAGCUCAAAUUUUAAAUCUGUUAGGUUUACCUAACCGAGUUGUAAUUUGAAGAGGCGUUUUCUGUGUUUCUGAUCAGCCCAAGUCCUUUGGGAUAGGGCAUCAUGGAGGGUGAGAAUCCCGUUCGGUUGGUCAGAUUCGCUUUACGAUACGUCAUCUAAGAGUCAAGUUGUUUGGGAUUGCAGCUUAAAAUGGGAGGUAAAUUUCUCCUAAGGCUAAAUAACGGCGAGAGACCGAUAGCGAACAAGUACCGUGAGGGAAAGAUGAAAAGAACUUUGAAAAGAGAGUUAAACAGUACGUGAAAUUGUUGAAAGGGAAACGAUUGAAGCCAGUCGUACCUUCGGGUAAUCAGCCUUUCGGGUGCGAUUCUGUGGAGCGUGAGGAGUUAAACGCCUUCAUGCCUGCAUAUUCGUGCACUUUGGGUGUACUUGCCCGUGUGGUAGGUUAACAUCAAUUUCGGAUAUCAUAAAAUGGCUGGAGGAAUGUAGCUUCGGUCUCGUACUGAAGUGUUAUAGCCUCUGGUAGAUGUGAUGACCGGGAUUGAGGAUUGCAACGAAUACCUUUUGGGCUACCCGCCUGAUCUCUGAAAGUUGCUCUGGUGCCGAAAGCUUGCUUACGGUUAUCAAAGUUGACGUUCAAAAGGUUAGAACGGGUUAAAUUCGUUAAGGAUGUUGACGUAAUGGCUUUAAACGACCCGUCUUGAAACACGGACCAAGGAGUCUAACAUAUAUGCGAGUGUU